UUGGUUUAUAGAACUCUCACACUGCCCCCUCCCCCAACUCCUGUGGACAAGCACUAACUGUAGCUUAUUAAAGCUCAGGUUCAGGUCACCACUGACAUACAUGCUGUUAGCGCACAGGAGGCUAUCUGAGGAAAGCCUCACUGAGAUCGCAAGGGGAACCUGAUCAAGACAGGCAGCAACAACAGCGAGUUGCAGACAGACAACAUAAGACAGAUAACACAAGUUAUGCCUCGAAAUUAAACAGAAAUGCCAAGGCA